AAUGAACGCUGGCGGCGCGCCUAAUACAUGCAAGUCGAGCGAGAAGACGUAGCAAUACGUUUGUAAAGCGGCGAACGGGUGAGGAAUACAUGGGUAACCUACCCUCGAGUGGGGAAUAACUAGCCGAAAGGUUAGCUAAUACCGCGUACGCUCCUUGGACUUCGGUUCAGGGAGGAAAGCGAUACCGUGGGUAUCGCGCUCUUGGUUGGGCUCAUGUCCUAUCAGCUUGUUGGUGAGGAACGGCUCACCAAGGCUUCGACGGGUAGCUGGUCUGAGAGGACGAUCAGCCACACUGGCACUGCGACACGGGCCAGACUCCGUACGGGAGCAGCAAGUAAGGAAUAUUGCGCAAGUGGGCGAAAGCCUGACGCAGCGACGCCGC
rnacentral:rRNA from 1 species